UUUUCCAGAAGACAUCAUGAAGAAAUCCUUUGUCAGGGGUUGAUGAGAGGCUCCUCUGUCUGCCUCAUCCCGCCCUUCAACAUAUGCAACAUUAACAUCGAGAGGGGGCCUUUGAUUCAUCCAAGGAGAGGGAGGUUGCAUGUAAGGGCUAGGCCUCCCAGCUUUUGCCUCAGUACUGCCUCCAGUAUCACUUACAGGGGUGGGAUACUCACCAGUAGGAAUGUUGUAAGUAGAGGAAUUGUCCACACUUCCAGGUAAAGGUGUCUG
rnacentral:misc_RNA from 1 species